GCAACGUAUGGCCAUCGGACGGCGCGCGGGCCACGGCCUCGCCGGCGGCCAUGCCAUUGGCUGCGGGGCGAUCUUCGACGCCCACCUCGCG
rnacentral:tRNA from 1 species